rnacentral:rRNA from 1 species
ACCUUGAAAUUUUAAUUGAAUAGGCCUUGAAUUUGUGAGUUUAGACUCUUUUUAGAUUCCACAUAUAAGUGAGAUCGUGCAGUUCUUGUCUUUCCUGUGUCUGGCUAAUUUCGGUUAGACCUCUUA